rnacentral:rRNA from 1 species
UACAGAGGGUGCGAGCGUUAAUCGGAAUUACUGGGCGUAAAGCGUGCGUAGACGGCUAUCUAAGUCGGGUGUGAAAGCCCCGGGCUCAACCUGGGAAUUGCAUUCGAGACUGAAUAGCUAGGGUACGGUAGAGGGAAGUGGAAUUUCCGGUGUAGCGGUGAAAUGCGUAGAGAUCGGCAGGAACACCCGUGGCGGAAGCGGCCACCUAGCCCGCACCUGACGCUGAGGCGCGACAGCGUGGGGAGCGAACGGG